UACGGAGGGUGCAAGCGUUGUUCGGAAUCAUUGGGCGUAAAGCGCGUGUAGGCGGCACGGCAAGUCGGUUGUGAAAGCCCGGGGCUCAACCCCGGAACUGCAGCCGAAACUGCCGCGCUAGAGUCCCGGAGAGGAAGGCGGAAUUCCCGGUGUAGGGGUGAAAUCCGUAGAUAUCGGGAGGAACACCAGUGGCGAAGGCGGCCUUCUGGACGGUGACUGACGCUGAGACGCGAAAGCGUGGGGAGCAAACAGG
rnacentral:misc_RNA from 1 species